GCGGUGGAGCAUGUGGUUCAAUCGACGCAACGCGAAGAACCUUACCUGGGCUUGACAUCCGCUGACCGUCCUGGAAACAGGAUCUUCCCGCAAGGGACGGCGAGACAGGUGCUGCAUGGCUGUCGUCAGCUCGUAUCGUGAGAUGUUGGGUUAAGUCCCGCAACGAGCGCAACCCUCAUCCUUAGUUGCCAUCAUUGAGUUGGGCACUCUAAGGAAACUGCCCCGGUUAACGGGAGGAAGGUGGGGAUGACGUCAAGUCCUCAUGGCCUUUAUGUCCAGGGCUACACACGUGCUACAAUGGGCGGUACAAAGGGUUGCAAUACCGUAAGGUGGAGCUAAUCCCAAAAAGCCGCUCUCAGUUCAGAUUAGAGUCUGCAACUCGACUUUAUGAAGGCGGAAUCGCUAGUAAUCGCGGAUCAGCAUGCCGCGGUGAAUACGUUCCCGGGCCUU
rnacentral:rRNA from 1 species